CCUACGGGAGGCAGCAGUGGGGAAUAUUGCGCAAUGGGCGAAAUCCUGACGCAGCGACGCCGCGUGAGGGAUGACGGUCUUCGGAUCGUAAACCUCUGUCAGCACGGAAGAACGGUCACUGUGCUAAUCAGCAGUGAAUUGACGGUACCUGCAAGGGAAGCACCGGCUAACUCCGUGCCAGCAGCCGCGGUAAUACGGCGGGUGCGAGCGUUAAUCGGAUGUACUGGGCGUAAAGCGCGCGUAGGCGGUAUGUCAAGUCAAGGGUGAAAUCCCCGCGCUCAACGUGGGAACUGCCUUUGAAACUGGCAAACUGGAGUGUGUGAGAGGAUAGUGGAAUUUCAGGUGUAGGAGUGAAAUCCGUAGAUAUCUGGAGGAACAUCAGUGGCGAAGGCGACUAUCUGGCACAUAACUGACGCUGAGGAGCGAAAGCGUGGGUAGCAAACAGGAUUAGAUACCCGUGUAGUC
rnacentral:rRNA from 1 species